UACCCACAAGGUACUAGUAGCUCAUUUUGCUGUGGUCCUCUCCUGGCUCAUCACGUGAUCCCCCACUCUCAGUUUUGGCUUUGCGGCUGAUUGACUCGCAAAGUGAAACAGCGAGCGUAAUGGAGCCAGGGUUCAGAGGGGGUAAUUUCCCAUCACAGCAAACAGACGGCGGCUGGAACCGCUUGGUGCUCACGUAAGCGGUUCACUCACGUGAGGCGGUCGAGAUUCCGCGCCCUCCGUGUCGCAAAACCGUGCCUACACCAUGUCAGGUGCCUGUCCAGGCCACAUGAAACGGGCUGGUACAUCCCUGUACCCCGCAAACCUAGAUUUGCCGAUCUUUGGUAUCUAUGCCACAGCGAUAUCGCCAAAUAUUGGCGGGUUUGCGGGGCAACCCAGAGAUUACUCGAGUCCGUUGGCCAACCUCCGAGCGUUUGUGUUUGAAAACUUUUCUUUUUGACUCAGGCACGUCAUUUUCGCUGACAGCCUUCAUCUACUGUACAGCCUUGGGUAUGAUGAUACUGUAUCGUCAGUCGAGCUGUGUGGAGUCUAAAACAGCGCCAACGUGUGAGACCUACGAUACAAGAAUCGACUCGUACUGUACGAUAAAGCUGCUAAGAGAUCCAGUACCCGCUGGGACAGUCGCCUAAAGCACGUCACAGUCGUGUCGGCUGCUAAGCACGUGAAUGGGUACAUGAAGGAGUGAUUAUUAUGUGCGAUAUUGGCACUGUCGCGUUUGGUUUUGCGUUUGCCCUUUUUUUCUUGUCUUGUCAAAAAAAAAGUGUGUCAGUCGGUCCAAGAGCUUGUAGUCCAGCCAGCCUUCCAGAUAAUAAAAGGCCCUUAAUAAACGAAGGACGGCCUACUUUUACGCUGAUCACCACAACCCAAGAUACGACGGGUCAUUAAACCAUACCAACCAAACACACGCGCACACACGGACUGCCACGCCAGAUAAAAAGCCUCCAUGAACGCAAUCACCCCUAUUCUCCAGCCCCACAUCGACAAGGUCAAGGCCAAGCUGCCAAUAGAGAAAAUUGAGCAGAUUCGUGCCAACAUUCCCCCGCUGCCCUUUGACGUUAACAAGCUGGUGGAACAACUGCCGUCGGCCUCCACCUCGGUGGUCAUUUUCGCCACCCUCGUGCUGUUUGCCUCAUUCCACUCUGGAUUUCUCUUCAAGUACGUGACGGUGCCCUUCAUCUUUGCCAUUUGCUGCGUCGUCAUGCUCGGCAACCACAAGAUCAAGUGAUGCAGAGCACUGGACAAGGCACUACAUGAACUCGAUUGUCGUGAGUCUUUGACUGGGUGCUGGAAACCAUCUGCUGGCAAUCAUCUUCAGUCUCCCACAUCAUCGCGCACUCUUACACACCCAGCACCACCAGGUGUCUCUCCACACUGACGUAAAACGUUCCAACCAAAAACCGACAUGUGGUAUCAAAUGCUACACCGUUACAUACCGUCUGUUUCUCAUUCAGAUAGUAGUUUGAAUAUAUUCAUCUCGGGAUUCGACCUCGCACCAACAUUCGACAUGGACCGCAUUCGGCCCCACCCCCAGGUGUAAUUAAACUGUAUGCUUGACCCAUGCAGGUUGGGCCAGGGAAGUGGUAAUGGUGGUGCUAGGGGAUGU
rnacentral:misc_RNA from 1 species